GAUGAACGCUGGCGGCGUGCCUAGUACAUGCAAGUCGAGCGAACGGACGAGAAGCUUGCUUCUCUGAUGUUAGCGGCGGACGGGUGAGUAACACGUGGAUAACCUACCUAUAAGACUGGGAUAACUUCGGGAAACCGGAGCUAAUACCGGAUAAUAUUUUGAACUGCAUGGUUCAAAAGUGAAAGACGGUCUUGCUGUCACUUAUAGAUGGAUCCGCGCUGCAUUAGCUAGUUGGUAAGGUAACGGCUUACCAAGGCAACGAUGCAUAGCCGACCUGAGAGGGUGAUCGGCCACACUGGAACUGAGACACGGUCCAGACUCCUACGGGAGGCAGCAGUAGGGAAUCUUCCGCAAUGGGCGAAAGCCUGACGGAGCAACGCCGCGUGAGUGAUGAAGGUCUUCGGAUCGUAAAACUCUGUUAUUAGGGAAGAACAUAUGUGUAAGUAACUGUGCACAUCUUGACGGUACCUAAUCAGAAAGCCACGGCUAACUACGUGCCAGCAGCCGCGGUAAUACGUAGGUGGCAAGCGUUAUCCGGAAUUAUUGGGCGUAAAGCGCGCGUAGGCGGUUUUUUAAGUCUGAUGUGAAAGCCCACGGCUCAACCGUGGAGGGUCAUUGGAAACUGGAAAACUUGAGUGCAGAAGAGGAAAGUGGAAUUCCAUGUGUAGCGGUGAAAUGCGUAGAGAUAUGGAGGAACACCAGUGGCGAAGGCGACUUUCUGGUCUGUAACUGACGCUGAUGUGCGAAAGCGUGGGGAUCAAACAGGAUUAGAUACCCUGGUAGUCCACGCCGUAAACGAUGAGUGCUAAGUGUUAGGGGGUUUCCGCCCCUUAGUGCUGCAGCUAACGCAUUAAGCACUCCGCCUGGGGAGUACGACCGCAAGGUUGAAACUCAAAGGAAUUGACGGGGACCCGCACAAGCGGUGGAGCAUGUGGUUUAAUUCGAAGCAACGCGAAGAACCUUACCAAAUCUUGACAUCCUUUGACAACUCUAGAGAUAGAGCUUUCCCCUUCGGGGGACAAAGUGACAGGUGGUGCAUGGUUGUCGUCAGCUCGUGUCGUGAGAUGUUGGGUUAAGUCCCGCAACGAGCGCAACCCUUAAGCUUAGUUGCCAUCAUUAAGUUGGGCACUCUAAGUUGACUGCCGGUGACAAACCGGAGGAAGGUGGGGAUGACGUCAAAUCAUCAUGCCCCUUAUGAUUUGGGCUACACACGUGCUACAAUGGACAAUACAAAGGGCAGCGAAACCGCGAGGUCAAGCAAAUCCCAUAAAGUUGUUCUCAGUUCGGAUUGUAGUCUGCAACUCGACUACAUGAAGCUGGAAUCGCUAGUAAUCGUAGAUCAGCAUGCUACGGUGAAUACGUUCCCGGGUCU
rnacentral:rRNA from 1 species